rnacentral:rRNA from 1 species
CCUGGCUCAGGAUGAACGCUGGCGGCGUGCCUAACACAUGCAAGUCGAGCGAAGCACUUUGCUUAGAUUCUUCGGAUGAAGAGGAUUGUGACUGAGCGGCGGACGGGUGAGUAACGCGUGGGUAACCUGCCUCAUACAGGGGGAUAACAGUUAGAAAUGACUGCUAAUACCGCAUAAGACCACAGCACCGCAUGGUGCGGGGGUAAAAACUCCGGUGGUAUGAGAUGGACCCGCGUCUGAUUAGCUGGUUGGUAAGGUAACGGCUUACCAAGGCGACGAUCAGUAGCCGACCUGGGAGGGUGACCGGCCACAUUGGGACUGAGACACGGCCCAAACUCCUACGGGAGGCAGCAGUGGGGAAUAUUGCACAAUGGGGGAAACCCUGAUGCAGCGACGCCGCGUGAGCGAAGAAGUAUUUCGGUAUGUAAAGCUCUAUCAGCAGGGAAGAAAAUGACGGUACCUGACUAAGAAGCACCGGCUAAAUACGUGCCAGCAGCCGCGGUAAUACGUAUGGUGCAAGCGUUAUCCGGAUUUACUGGGUGUAAAGGGAGCGUAGACGGAUGGGCAAGUCUGAUGUGAAAACCCGGGGCUCAACCCCGGGACUGCAUUGGAAACUGUUCAUCUAGAGUGCUGGAGAGGUAAGUGGAAUUCCUAGUGUAGCGGUGAAAUGCGUAGAUAUUAGGAGGAACACCAGUGGCGAAGGCGGCUUACUGGACAGUAACUGACGUUGAGGCUCGAAAGCGUGGGGAGCAAACAGGAUUAGAUACCUGGUAGUCCACGCCGUAAACGAUGACUACUAGGUGUCGGGUGGCAAAGCCAUUCGGUGCCGCAGCAAACGCAAUAAGUAGUCCACCUGGGGAGUACGUUCGCAAGAAUGAAACUCAAAGGAAUUGACGGGGACCCGCACAAGCGGUGGAGCAUGUGGUUUAAUUCGAAGCAACGCGAAGAACCUUACCUGCUCUUGACAUCCCGCUGACCGGACGGUAAUGCGUCCUUCCCUUCGGGGCAGCGGAGACAGGUGGUGCAUGGUUGUCGUCAGCUCGUGUCGUGAGAUGUUGGGUUAAGUCCCGCAACGAGCGCAACCCCUAUCUUUAGUAGCCAGCGGCCAGGCCGGGCACUCUAGAGAGACUGCCGGGGAUAACCCGGAGGAAGGUGGGGAUGACGUCAAAUCAUCAUGCCCCUUAUGAGCAGGGCUACACACGUGCUACAAUGGCGUAAACAAAGGGAAGCGAGACCGCGAGGUGGAGCAAAUCCCAAAAAUAACGUCUCAGUUCGGAUUGUAGUCUGCAACUCGACUACAUGAAGCUGGAAUCGCUAGUAAUCGCGAAUCAGAAUGUCGCGGUGAAUACGUUCCCGGGUCUUGUACACAAAGGCCG